AAGGGCUAUCCAACGCCUCUGUGCGGGGUGUGACGUGCACUCGCAGCCGAGGAAAACAAACAAAACACGAAGGAGAAGAGGAGGGGUACAACGUCUACCACUACCUGUGGCACGCCACCGCCCGUCCUCUUUACGUACCUCAGCAAAUCUGCCUUGCCCAUCAUCCACACACUUUCUCUUACAAUCUGAAAGCGUAGUACGAUGAAACUAGGCUACUUUGAGGGCAUCUUUAGCCACGCGCGGCCGUCGCUUGAUAACAUCGUCAGCACGGCACGCAAGCGCGUCUUCCCGCGAUCCUCCAAGGCGGCCGAGAAGCUGAACAAAGAGCCAUCACGUUUGACACCGUUCCAGAGGCGGCUGGCGAUCGGCGCCGCCGUUGUGGUGGGCGCCAUCACCGCCUACGCUACCCUGUCGCGUCUCUUCACGCUUUUCGAGCGGCGGCGGUGCUUGCAACUCAUCCAGCAGUGCGAGGCCCGCGAGACGGAGCUGUUCCUCUUCAUCCUCCCUCGCUCACCUUGGGCUCCUAGUUUGUCCCCGGCCUGCACACGCGUGGAGGCGUUCCUGCGCGCCAACGGGAUCCCGUACAAGGCGAUCGAGACAAUCGACCCGCUCGGCGCCCCCAACGGCGAGCUUCCCUUCCUCAUCUACAAGCGCCAGCGCGUUGACCAGCUCCCCAAGAUGAUGGAGCUCAUCACGUCGGAGUUCAACGUGGCCAUGGAUAGCACCCUCACCCGUGAUCAGCGCGCUGUCGGGGCUUCUCUGCGACGCACGCUGGAGUACAGCGUAGAGCGUUUACUCUACCGCAUCGUAUUCAUUGACCACCCGUCCCUGGCGGUGGCGCAGAUCACGCGUGCACUGCACAUUUCUCACCUGCGCGCGCGACUCGCCGUGCACGGCUAUGCGAUUAAGCUGAAGAAGCGGCUCGCCAUCACCGCGUACGGCUCCCUUGUCAGUGAGCAGUGCGAGAACGAGUUUUCGCAGGACUGCGAGGCGAUAGAGGCGCAGAUUGGCCACAAGCGGUACUUGUUCAGCGACACCAACAUGACGAGCUACGACUGCGCCGUGUACGCGCUGCUUGUCCCCUUUGCGUACAUGGGCAACCAUGUGUCACUGAGUGCCGCCUACUCGACUGUUGCGGACAGCGCGGUGCUGAUGGCGUACAUCAACCGUAUUUCGAAGCGGCUGUUUUCGGACAUCGGUUCCGGCUUUGAUGCGGCGCGCAUCUCCUUUUCCACUUCCUGUAUGGACGGGAACGAUGAUUGAGAAUGUUUUGGAGGCGGUGGAGAGGAGGGAGGGGAUCGCGAACAGGUUGCUCGGAGGCGCCAGCGGUGCCACGGUCAUACGACGCUGACAUCGCCGAUCGCACGACACAAGCUAAGGCCUCAAGCGCCACGUGAGGAGGGUGAGGUGCAAGUGCUGAGGGAGGUGGCGGGUGGGCUCAUGAUAAGUGCAAGAGUGCGAGCUGUCUUUUCGGCUCCCCUUUUUCCUUUCAGUUUAAGCUCUAUGGGCGUUGUUGGCCUCUAUUCCUUUUUGCUUCCCACGCAAAGACCUGCUCGUUCCCAAGCCGCUUCAGGCCACCUUCAUCUCUGCGGUCUCGGACCAGCACUCCAUCCCAGCCUCGCAGCGCACCGCUACGGCCUCACAGGGACGGCGGGACACCCACUUACACACGCAUAGCCGUGUAGGGCCGAAAGAGUGCCCUCUCCCCCUACCCCUCGUCGUUUUCGGCGGCGUUCCCAAUAUGCGGGCGCUCGUGUGUGUGUGUGUGUCUCUGAGCCCUCACAUCGCCUCCUCCCCCUCUUCCACCAUCUUCGAUUGGUUUAUCUCCCAUACUCAUCUCCGUGGCCUUGUGGAUUCCUCAUUUCGUAUGUUCUUUUUUCGUUUCCGCGUGAACUCUUUUCGUGUGUCUGUCUAUGUGUUGCCAUUAACUACCGCUCCCUUCCUUCCUCCCUUCCUCUCCCUUUCCUUCUGAGGCUCAAG
rnacentral:misc_RNA from 1 species